UGGCUGGUUAGCGACCUACGGAAGGGAUAACCGCUGAAAGCAUCUAAGCGGGAAGCUCGUCCCAAGAUGAGGACCCCCACGGGGUUAACCCGGUAAGGCCCGUGGUAGACCACCACGUUGAUAGGCCGGAGGUGUAAGCGGGGCAACUCGUUCAGCCGACCGGUACUAAUCGGCCGAGGGCUUGGAUCUGACCAG
rnacentral:rRNA from 1 species